CUGGAGCGUGUCUGCGUGAUCCCCCAAUAUGGCCUCAUUUGUACCGAUUUAUAUUACAUGAAGACUACUGUUAACAGUGUCCUUUUAUAAAUGUGUAUUCCUAUGAUAAAUAAGUCACGGGUGUGGACACAGAGACGGACCCCGCUCAACUUUUCCGAUGCAGACCCGCGGCUUCGCUGCGUAAUGAUGUAAUCCCCCCUGAGGCGAGUGACUGGAGUCCUCAAGUGACCACUACUCCAUAAUUGGCUGCCUGCGCGAACAUCACUCAGCCUAACAAGAGCCAGGAAGCUUCAACACACACACACUUUGUGGCUUUGCAUUACAAUGCAUUAAACUUCAUCACUUACUUGGGACAAUACAUUGGUACGAGCCAAUGGCCGGAUGAUCGCCUUUUGUUCGUAAAAGUCUUCAAAAUGGGCCCACAAAGUGUACAGAUUAAAAACAACCAUUAUUUACAUGUAGCAAUGUAUACCGA